rnacentral:lncRNA from 1 species
GACCAUCACAUUCCCCUUCAGAGGAAAAGCAUGGCGUCUAGACGUGCUCUUCCCCAAAGGCCAAGCCACUAGGAGAGAUUGGACUUAGAAGAUUUUUGAAGUCACCUAAAACCUUUUUCCCAUUUUAUGAGUGAAUUUUAAACAAGUGAAUAGCGAAGAAGAGCCAUGAAGCAUAUUGGAAGGACUCUACCAGGAGGAUUUUAAAAAUAGAACAAUGUCUUCUACAUUAAAUUUUUUCCUGAUAAUUCUUUAAUUCUUUUUUAUUUUUAUGUGCAUUGAUGUUUUUCUUGCAUGUCUGUCUGUCUGUCUGUCUGUCUGUCUGUGGGCAUUGGAUUCCAUGGAAUAGAAGUUACAGACAGGUGUGAGCUGCCAUGUGGCGCUGGGACUUGAACCCGGGUCCUCUGGAAGAGCAACCAGUGAGUGUCCUCAACCACUGAGCCAUCCUUCCAAUCCAUGUCUUCUAUAUUUUAUGUGUACUAAUGAGAUGUUUACAAAGUUAUCCACUAGUUAAUUGGCUGGGGGAGGGGAGAUGUGCAUGUCAGCCGACAGCUGUCAAGGGUUGGCUUUCACCUUCCACUUUACAGAGGUAGAGUAGUUCUUGCUUCCUACUACAGGCUAGCUGGCCCUGAACUUGUAACAGACUCUGCAGCCUCCACCUCCUGCCUUGCUGUAGGACUUCUGGGAUUACAGUUGUACACCUCCACAUUUGGUUUAAAAAAUGGGAUCCAGGCAUCAAACUCUGGAUUUUCAGGCUUCUGGAGCAAGCACUUCUACUCAUUGAGCCAUCUCGGCAGCCCCAGAGCAGUGUGUAUCGGGUGCCGAGCCACAUGCUGGGGGCUCCCUCCCAUUCAGCCCUCGUUUCGAUUCCUAUAGGCAAAGGACAAGAUAGCUGCAUGGGUAGUUACAUCAAUUGGAAAGAGACUUAGGUUGGGUUUCUGAAGAAGCCCAUAGUCUGAGUCAGGACCUGAGUGCACAUGGUAAAAUGAAAAAUGUUGGCCUCAGAAAAUGCCAGCAGGAAGUGGGGGCAGGAAGGGAUGGAGAAGGGAGAGGAAGCAGGGCAUUCUUGCAGGCAACUGGAACUUAGUCUUACUGGGACAUGAUGGGAAAGAAGAGGGAAUACACAUCAGGCUUUCCUACCCUCAUUUUAAAGGAGCCCCAAUUGGCUUUCAGAAUGCUCCUCAGACUGAACUCUGUCCCCCCUCCACCCCUUUUCUAAUCAGUGUAAAGUAGAGGUUGCUCCCACGGCUUGAGAGAGCCCGAGGGUUUCCAGCAGGUUCUUCCAGUACGAACUUGGCAGCUUACAAAGGAAUAGCCAACAAGUGCAAGUGCACGCAGCAGGCAGUGGCAGCCUUGGCUCCAGUAAGUACUUGGUGGGGGUGGCGUCAUCUCAAUGGAAAAUGGUUAGAGCUGCAGUUUGAACCUGGUGGCUCGCCUCCAAGUGUGUGCCUUUGACCCUGGUGCUCCUCAGCAUCAAGGCUGGUGGAAAAGAGCAGACAGAGACAGCUCCUUUUCUGAUGACCCAUUUAAAAUGGUGUUAACAUAAUUAUUCAUUCAAACACGGACAAAGCCACAGCUUGCACACCUUGAAAGGACACAGGCCCAGAGUCUGUAAAAUAAAUACAUCCUGACAUGGCCUGGGCAGCUGCUUUAGAAGAAUACUCCCUGCAGAUGCUGCCUGCUGCUCUGAAGCUGCUACUGCUGCCCUGGCUCUGCCCCGGCUUGGUACUGCUGCCCUGGCUGUGCCCUGGCUCGGUUGGACAGCAUCCCCCAGGACAGGUCCAUCCGAGGGGAGUGAGACCAAAGGGCUAUGGCAGUUUCUCUUCUUGCCAAGUGUGGUAAGUAGCACCAUGAUAGAAGCCUUUGGUGGGCUGCCAUGGCCAAUUGUUCUGCCAAGACUCACUGCUCCUAUCCUGUCCCCAGCUUGAGAGAUGAGCAGACACUAUGGAAGGAAAACAAGGAACAGGGACUCUGGUUUGCUAGAAACCCCAGAGGGACUCGGGGAAGGUGAAACUGGAUGGAGGCUGAGAUGAAUUUGGUUUCUCUUGAGAGAGGCUUUCCAAGAUGGCCUCAGGCUAUCAUGAACCU